CACCAUGGCUCUGAAGAGAAUCCACAGGGAGUUGAAUGACCUGGCACGGGAUCCCCCAGCAGUGUUCAGCAGGUCCUGUUGACGAUGAUAUGUUCCAUUGGCAAGCUACAAUAAUGGGACUGAAUGACAGUCCAUAUCAGGGUGGAGUAUUUUUCUUGACAAUUCAUUUCCCAACAGAUUACCCCUUCAAACCACCUAAGGUUGCAUUUACAACAAGAAUUUAUCAUCCAAAUAUUAACAGUAAUGGCAGCGUUUGUCUUGAUAUUCUACGGUCACAGUGGUCUCCAGCACUAACUAUUUCAAAAGUACUCUUGUCCAUCUGUUCUCUAUUGUGUGAUCCCAAUCCAGAUGAUCCUUUAGUGCCUGAGAUUGCUCGGAUCUACAAAACAGAGAAAAGUACAACAGAAUAGCUCGGGAAUGGACUCAGAAGUAUGCGAUGUAAUUAAAGAAAUUAUUGGAUAACCUCUACAAAUAAAGAUAGGGGAACUCUGAAAAAAAAAA